rnacentral:rRNA from 1 species
AUUGAACGCUGGCGGCAUGCCUUACACAUGCAAGUCGAACGGCAGCACGGGAGCAAUCCUGGUGGCGAGUGGCGAACGGGUGAGUAAUAUAUCGGAACGUGCCCGGUCGUGGGGAUAACGUAGCGAAAGCUACGCUAAUACCGCAUGCGAUCUACGGAUGAAAGCGGGGGAUCGCAAGACCUCGCGCGAUUGGAGCGGCCGAUAUCAGAUUAGGUAGUUGGUGAGGUAAAGGCUCACCAAGCCGACGAUCUGUAGCUGGUCUGAGAGGACGACCAGCCACACUGGGACUGAGACACGGCCCAGACUCCUACGGGAGGCAGCAGUGGGGAAUUUUUGGACAAUGGGCGCAAGCCUGAUCCAGCAAUGCCGCGUGCAGGAUGAAGGCCUCGGUUGUAAC